CUAGCGCCUGCGCGCGGAGCCCGGCACUGAGACGCGCUCCGGAGAGCAGUCCGGUUCUGGCCCAGCUCGUAGCACGCGCCUGCGCAUUAACCGCCCCCGCCUCCUGUUCCCGCCGACCGAGAGGGCGUGGGCAGGGCAGGGCAGGGCAGGGCAGGGUGCUCGCCCAGUGAUCCUCGAGCGCGCGGCGAGCAACGCGGGAUCCGAAGUUCUUUACAGCCGCCCGGCCGGAGUGGGUUUUCAUGCCUCUGCUUUCCGUUUGUUUUCCGGCCCUGCCCCCGAGGCUGGAGCGUGGACAGCGGAGGGCGCCGCAACAAAGGCCUUCUAGAAUAGGCGUUCCAGGACGAAUGCCCACGAGGCCCUGGACCGAACGGCGUCUGUCUUCAUAGAUCACCUGGGCUGGCUAUCGCCCACCGUCUGGAAGACAGUGAAACCUACACAGAUUAAAAGGACACCUUGUCCAGACUCUGCCUGUAGAAUUCAUAACUUCCAGCCGGGUGACUUGGUGUUAAUCAAACCCUGGAAAGAAGACAAACUCCAACCAAGCUGGAAAGGCCCUUGUCAGGUGCUCCUGACCACUGAGACGGCUGUGUGGACUGCUGGAAAAGGUUGUACUCAUUAUACACGAGUCAAGGGGCCAAUAAAAGAGACCUCAAAGGGAAGGGAAAGGACCAAUGAGCAGCCUUUAAAGGUAACUUUAAGAAAUCCUUGUUAAAUCCUUCCCUCUGAAUCCUCCCCUUCACAAUAACCAUUAACCAUGUGGCCACACCUUUGGAAACUGGUAUGGAAACCAACAGGUAAAAAGUUAGAGUAGAAAUUGACAAGGAACCCCUGAGUAUCCAAUGAGGUUGGUUGUCAAUAUAACCAAAACCUUGUCACCUCAGACUAUGAGUUUUGAUGCCUGCCAAAUUUUACCUUGUGGAAACUUAGAAAACCAGAGACAGUUGUUGCAGGCAGAUAAGUAUCUUUGCCCUGAACCAGAUUUGGUUUAUACUAGAGCAAGCCCCUGCCCCAGUUGGGAUGAUGUAUGGUGGACCACCCAGUUUCAGGACUGGACGGUAAACAUAGGGUGGGUGACUCCUAGUUGGAGGCCUUUGAAAGACAAAAUACACCUAAGGGCAUUCCACCAGAAGCCAGUCAAAAUCUAAAAUGCAACUCUAUCCUCUUAACCGUUAACAACCCAGCUACCCUAGAUUAAGAGCCAAAAGUGGCAUCUCAUGUAUAUGGGUUAGGGACAGAUGUCACUGGGAAAGACCCGUUGGGGUGAUUUGUUCUUAACUUGAUUGAAAAUAAAAACCUCCCGUGUAUUGGAGAUUGUCCUGAUCUUGAGCUCCGAAAACCAUGUUGUUUCUAUUAAUGAUACCAAAAGGAUAGAAAUAAUUGAGGUAAAAAGAUAUAAGACAGACUUUAGAAAUUGAGACAGGGUAUGAAGAGACAAAUGCCUGGGUCGAAUGGGUCAAAUUUACAGUGCAAGCCCAUCAUAAGAGUGAUUGUUACGCAUGUGUGGCUGGAUACCCACAGACACAGGUGGUUCCGUUCCCCCUCAGAUGGGACACUGAUCUGGGAGGAAUGCACCACAUGUUGGCCCUUUACCAGGACAAAGAUGCGUGGGGAGAAGACCUACAAGAAUCUGUCAUGAGACUUUCCCGAACUGCAAAGGUCGGACCCAAGAGCCGUCCCCUUUCUCCAUGGGGAAUAUGAACCAAUGCAGGAGAUGCAGGAGACUCGGGUUCGAUCCCUGGGUUGGGAAGAUCCUCUGGAGAGGGAAAUGGCAACCCACUCCAGUAUUCUUCCCAGGAAAAUCCCAUGGGGUCGCAGAGAGUCAGAUAUGACUGGGCACAGCAAGUCCUCUUGCCUCUCUAGGCAGGGGGCAGAGUUCAGUAGACCCAUGGGAGAACUUGCCACCUGUCCCAGCAUCUUGAACAUUACUGAUGAGCCAGACAACGGUAACUACUCAACCCUCCGUAGACCCCGGGCUGAUGUCUGGUGGUUUUGUGGGAAAAGGAACCUCCUAGACUGACUGCCGUCAAGUUGGACAGGGACUUGGGCUUUCACUCAGUGCCCAUUCCCUUUACCCUGGCAUUCCACAAGGUACCUGAAAAGCCAGCCAGCCACCAAAGUCGGAGAACAGCGGGGGACUCCUUUGACAUAUAUAUAUAUAUAUAUAUAUAUAUGUAUAUAUAUGUAUAAAUAAAUAAAUUGAUUCAACAGGAGUCCCUAGGGGAGUUCUUAAUGAAUUCAAGGCCUGAAACCAAAUAGCUACAGGGUUUGAGUCAGUACUUUUUAGGUGGUUCACAGUUACUUAAAAAAAAAAAUGUAGAUUGGAUUAAUUACAUAUAUUAUAACCAAGAGAUUUAUCAGAUAUACCAGAGAUGCCCUCCAAGGAGUAGCUAGCUAAUUGGAUGCCACCAGUAGAAUGGCCUGGGAAAAUAAGAUCACACUGGACGUGAUAACUAGCAGAGAAAGGGGGUGUUGGUGUUAUGCUGGGCAGGAAAUGCUGUACUUUCAUUCCCAACAAUACAGCUCCUGAUGGAACCAUCACAAAGGCCAUGAACACCCAGGACUGAUCUCCUUUAGGAGGGACUGGUUGGAUCUCCUUGUAGUCCAAGGGACUCUCAAGAGUCUUCUCCAACACCACAGUUCAAAAGCAUCAAUUC